rnacentral:rRNA from 1 species
GGACUACCAGGGUAUCUAAUCCCGUUCGCUCCCCUGGCUUUCGUGUCUCAGCGUCAGCUGGCCCCCAGCAGACUGUCUUCACCUUUGGCGUUCCAAGUGAUAUCUACGCAUUUCACCGCUCCACCACUUGUUCCAUCUGCCCCUAGGCCGCUCAAGAUCGCCAGUAUACCCAGCAGUUCCCCGGUUGAGCCGGGGGAUUUCACAAGGUACUUAACGACCCGCCUACACACGCUUUAAGCCCAGUGAUUCCGCCUAACGCUUGGCACCUCUGUCUUACCGCGGCGGCUGGCAC